UGGAACAAUGAUAGGAGAGUGUCUAUGAACAAAGCACUGUGAUUAAUCUGGUUCUUUGUAAAAUGCAGAGGUCCAUU
rnacentral:snoRNA from 1 species